CGUGGAACUCCUCUACGUACACAAUGCGAGAGGGGCCACAGGCUCCACCAGCACCCUUGGUGACCCUGGGCUCAGAAGAGAGGCAUCACAACAGGCGGUGUUGAGACGUGCCUUUAAUCCCAGCGUUCAGGAGGCAGAGGCAGGCAGAUCUGUGAGUUCCAGACCAGCCUGGUCUAGAGAGCGAGUUCCAGGCCAAUUAGGGCUACACAGAGAAACCCUGUCUCAAAAGAAAAGAAAAGAAAAGAAAAGAAAAGAAAAGAAAAGAAAAGCCACCCAGAUCACUGCCAGCAGCGGACAUCCCCACUGGAAGGUGACAGUGCAGCCCAAAGGGCCCCAGCUUGAUGAAGGUUCCCAGCACUGAGCAACUGUGCACAGGGAUCCAGAAGAGGCUCGGGAGCCCUAGCCUGGGCUGAGAAGCUGAACAGCCCUGGCCAGCCCCUACCCACUGGCAAGGACCACAGGAGCAGCCAGCUGAGAUCGGGAUACUGUAAGACCCGAGUUGAUGACCUCUGGCUCUUAAGCAGGCUACUCCAGUCAUCUCUGCGUGGUGGUGUAGGUGCUGAGAUGAAGGACAAUGCACACUGCUCCGCCUACAACCGGACUGGGGGAUCAGUUUGGCAGGCACCCUUGGUGGAGACAGAAGAGCAAGCAGCCUACCACCCACAGGAACAGGCGUGUCAUGGGAGGAACAGCCUCCCUCACCAAAGACACUCUUCUUCCUUUUCUGCCCUCUGCCCACGAGAGGAGGCAGCAAGUCCCACCCAGCAAGAGAGCCCUGUGGAGAGGAAAAGAUUGCCUGUGUGAGCUAGGACUCCAUGCCUGAAAGACCUGUCUCUGCCACGAAGGUGGGGGGACGCAGCUGCAGGAAGUGGGGAAGGCAGAUACAGCAAACCUGAGGAAGAACCAAGGACAGCCAAGGAUGGUGUUUGGCCCCUCCCACCCUGCGGCCUGGGAUGCUUACAGGACUGACGCAGACGCACUGUAUGAGGGUGCUGAGAGAGCCCGAGACCAAGAAGGGGUAACACAGACACAAGGAUCAGGCCAGCAGGCCACCAACUGUCAUGCCGAGUUUUCCCAGAGAUUGACAGUGGAGGCACAGGAAACACCCAAGCUCCAGGUGCCACCCAGGUGCUUCUGGGCAGAAAGCGGUCACUACAGACUGAGUCAGCACAGGCCUGGACACAGGGACACACCUAAACCUUGGGAGCUGCUUCUGCUGUAGCGAAGUGGAUGGGCCAGUGCAAACACUGCCAGCAAGGAACUGACAAGGCUGUGAGGAGCGAGGCUGGAGGAGACAGACAUACCUACUGCACACCACCACCCCACCAGGGACCUGCUGUCUCCAGGAGGAAGCCCAAGGGGAGAUGAAGCAAUGAAGAAAAGCCACGCAAAGGAGCCAGAGCAGCCACUAUCUGAACUGGGCCUGAAAGCCAAGCUGAGGCUGGCUAAACCCAGGGUCUGAAUGUGGAAUUCCAGGCAGGAGGACAAUGGAUACUUGGGGAACAGGACAUCUUUCUAACAUGGCACACAGAGUGGGGAGAGGUGUUGAGCACACAGAGCAAAGGGGGGAACUGCAGGCCCAGGGCCACUGAGCACAGACUUCCUAAGGGUGGUGGAGACAAAUAGAGCCAGCUCUGCAAACAAGCGUCAUAAGGGUGAGGGCAGCUCUCAAGAGGCCUGGGGCUCUGGAGGUCAAGGUGCUUCUCAGUGCUUCUCAGUGCUGCCUUCCACACUUCAUUGGCUGCAGCUGGCCGAGGUGCACAACUCUGACCAUCUCCCACCUAGUCCUGGAAGAGCGUUUCCCCGUGCUUCCCACCCCCUCCACAUCGUUGGUAUUCAGCCUUGACAGAGUCCUCUCUCCUGCCUCCCUUUGUGCAAGAGAUAAGUAACAUUUGAAAUCUCUGCUAUCGCCCAGCUGCAAAUGUUCGAGCUUUUCUUUUUUUUUUUUUUAACUUAAAAAGAAAUGAAAUCUCAUUUUAGAUUCCCAGAAAAGACAGCCACCAAGCUCUACUGUACUAAAAAAAAUCUGCCACCCAGAGGACAGGUAGGAGGUGAGCACAGAGAAGGGAGAGGGUCAGGCUGGGAGAAGCCUGACCCAUAGAUGCACUUUUCCUGACUCCAGACUGGCUUCGAGACAGCAGCACAGCCUUGGGCCCAGAAACGGUCUCUAAAAUGCAAAGAGCACUCCCUUGUCCACAGGCUGCAGGCACAUGCGGGAAAGGGUCACCUCCAAGGAGUCAACACCAUACGUCAGCCACAGUAAGGCUGAGCAUGGGGAGGCACAGUGUCAUUCCAGCACGUGGAGGCAGAGGCAAGCAGAUCUCCGCAAGACCCAGGCCAGCCCGCUCCGCACAGUGAGCUCCAGGCAGCAAAGGACACAAAGAGAGCUGGUCUUAAAAGAGGGACAUGACCCUCAUGUCACCUGGCACGGAACUGUCAUAAAAGGUUCUCCAACUGUUUGCACAUGUCAUCUGUAGCUGGCCACAAGCUCCUGCUGAGAGAGGCUAUUUCGUAGCCUUCUUUCCCCUCAGCUACAUGAAGCCCAACAAUGCGUGGACAUAGGUGGCCCGUGCUGGCCUGCUGGCUACUCAGAGUAACAGGAAGCACCUAUCUCUUGCUGCAGAGGCGACACACACUGAGCAACUAAGCUGCAGCAAAUGGCCUACUACCUUCCAGUCAGGACAGCAAGAGCACAAAGGCUGUUUCUGAGCAGAGCCAAACGGUCCUCUCUGACUAGCUGAACUCUCAUUCAUGUCUGAUGUCCAAGAAGAGGAGGACAGCAGCUUUCAGACUGCAGCUUCCCACAGAGAUUAAAAGUGUGUCACAUGGGGCUGGGGCUUGUAGCUCAGCUGGUUAAGUUCCUGCCUACUAUGCACAAAGCCCUGGUCUCCAUCUCUAAUAUCACAUAAACUAGGCAUGUAUCUGAAAUGCCAGCAUUUCACAGCUAGAGCCAGGAGCCAGCCUGGGCUACAUGAAACCCUGUCUUUAAAAAUUGAAGACAAAGGCAUGGUACAGAAUAGCACUCCCAGAAGCAGGAGCCACCUGCCUCCCAGGGUGAAGCCUGUUACUGGAACCUAACAGUUCUCAGACUAAAUGGGGAAGGCCCAGUUCUUGGAGUCACACAUCCAAAUCGCCUGAGGCCUCUUCCAGUUCUGAGACAUUCUGUGUUGACUUUCGGCUUUGUGGCGUCACAGCAGGCUCGGGUCAGCCGAGCCUCAUCCUGACACCAAGGCAGGCCUGCUCUGAGGAGUCACAGAUAGCCUGCUCCCCGGAAAGAACAGAGUGGCUGCUGUUGCUUGCUGCCUCUCCAGACCCGCCCUACCAAUCCCUCCCUCAGAACUCAGCCUAAACCUGAAAGGGGCCUGUUGAUCAGCUCCUCCCAAGCUAGAGCAGCAAGGAUGCUGUCCAGGGUGCUGGACUCCAGCUGGAACCAGAAGGACUUAAACAACACUGCAGCCACAAGAGCAGGCUUCUGCCAGCAGGUGGGAAAAGGCCUCCAGCAGCUCCCAGUAACACCCAGAGGGCCACCUAACAUUUUAAAUAACCAAACAAGCAGUUGGGGUGCAGUGAGGCCCCUCACUGGGAUCACCUUCCUCAGCCAGGAACUCCUGACAACUUGACAUUGGUGUUAAAAUUUUAUCAUUUAUGUAACAACUCAGUUAUUAACAGAGGCUCAUUUGCACGUGUCAGAGGAAGAGAAAAAUCACCUAAUUAACUAACCACUUUCCCCAUCAGCAACGCAGAACAGGGAGGGCUGCCAAUGUGCUUCCACGGCUUGCUUCCGGCCCUCGGUGGCUGCCUCACCUUUAAUAGAAAAGAUUUAUAAUCCUUCGUCAUGAGGGCCUGAGAAAACUCCCCUUCCAAUUACUGGAGUGUUAGCUAAACUAGCUACACCAACGUCAAUGUUGUCUUUUGCUAUGGGGCACGCCAUCAAGGGAGGCCAUAUGCCCCCGUGAAGUUCCUGAGAACCCCUGUUCAGUGCUGUUGCCCUACUAUAAAGAAAGGCUCAAUAACAGUGGGGCACAGCACAGCACACCGGUGAGCAGCCUAAGUAACCACUACUUUUGCUCAUUUGGUUUUUGGUUUGCCGUAGUGCACAGAAUUGAACCCAGGGCCUUGCUCAUGACAGGCAAGAACUCUACCUCUGAGCCACAUCCCAGCCCCUCACUGGGGGACUCUAGGCAGGGCUCUACCACUGAGCCACACCCCAGCCCCUCACUGGGGGAUUCUAGGCAGGAGCUCUACCACUGAGCCACACCCUAGCCCCUCACUGGGGGAUUCUAGGUAGGCACUAUAUUACUGAGCUUAUAGCCCUGUCUCCAACAAUGUCCAACAAUGUUUACAGAUGCUGCUGAUUGAGAUCAAUGUGAAGAGUGAAUAAGUAAUAUGAAAACGAGAAGUAAGUACCAGGCCAUGUAUGAGGCUACUUUCCUCCACCCAUACCCGUGCUCAUACAUCUCAUGAUACAAGAGCUUGCCACCUCCCACUGUACACAUGUCAGGUCACAGGGAUUAGCAGCUUCUCAGACAUAACUCACCAAGUGGUUCUCGUAUCCCCAGAGAUGAGAAUUGUCAAUGCAGAAAGCACUGGAGAUAGAUUUAGGGGGACCUAGCAGCAGUGAAGAAAAAGGAACGAAGUGCACACUAACAGGGGGCCAUCCGAGCCUCUACAAGAGGAGCCCCUAGACAUCCCAGGCCAACUAAGAGUCUCAUAUACAACAGCAAGGCUCUGAGGGUGUCAGGGGAGUGAGAGGAAGAGGAAAAGUCCACACACCCUUACUUGUAACUGUCUGAGCUAAAACACUCCAAUCCUGGAAGACAUUAAGAAGAAUUAAUGCAAAGGAAGCCUGCAGCCAGAGCCUGGAAUUGUGGGCCAAAGGGGGAAGAGCGGAGGUCUUGGUGGGAGAAUAAAGCCGUCUCUAGGCAGAAGGCCUAGGGUGGAGCUCUCCAGGCAGGCUGGCUGCACCACAGACACACCUUCCACUACCAUUACUUACGCGACUGCCAGGUGCUCCACUGUGAGGGCCAGAACAGACAGCAGAGCAGUCAACGGCCACCCAGAGACAACAGAGUGACAGGCACAAGCUCGGAGCGGCACAUGAGCACCAAGAGAGGCGCGCAGCGCGGCAGCCUCCAACCAUGAGGACAUGCUGACAGACAAGGAACCCCAGCCCGGUUCUCUAGCUGGAGGAGGAGAGUGUCGCCUCGAAGAGAACCCCAUCCGCAGGUCAGCCAUGCCUCCAGCAAGUCAGCGGGACUUACAUGAACGUAUACAUGGUGAACCUGAACACAUAACUGAUGUGUGGGAACAGCUUCAGACUCCACCGACACCUCCUAAGGGAAGGAUGCCGUGGCCAAGCUUCCUGAGCUCUAGGCCUGUAUGUCAUCAGCCUCCUGGCCCCCAACACACACCCCUGUGCUGCCUACCCACGCUCAAAUGGCAGGAUUAGAUGAAGGCCUGGGGAGUCUUCCUGCGGCACACAUCCAUGAGCAUGAGAAAACUAGACCCGGGAGGCCCCGCACACCUGCCACAGCCUGCCUCCUCCCCAGGUGCAGAAAGGAGGGACCUUUGGGAAGGCCCAAUGCCAACUGUGUGAAGACGGCAGCUCUACCCCUGCACCUUAGAAAGGUCCCCAGCUCUCCCGAAGACCACAUGUAAGACCAUGCUGAGGUUCGCUGGGAUGCCAGUACUCUGCACAGCCUGUGCGCACGCACACGUUUCUACGCUGGUGCACAUGGGUUUGACAGGAGCACAGCAUGUGCAAGCCUGCGGAGGCCGGAGGCCAGCAGCAAGUAGCUCCCUUAAUCACUCCCUACAUCAUUUGGCGGGCAGGCUCUCACUGAACCUGGAGCUGAUCUGUCUAGACUGGAGAGUCGGCGGGCCCAACUAUCCUCUCGUCUCCCCUGCGCCAUCCUGAGGAGGAAAGACCUAUCCACGCCUGGCUUGUUCUACAUGGAGCCUGGGGCUUAAACGCAGAGCCCCAAGCUCACAUGGGAAGAACUUCACUGACGGGGCCAUCUCCCCAGAUCCAAUUUCUCCCCAGUGCUGAAGAUGGAGGCCAAGGCCUCAAGUGCAUGAAGCAAAUGUUCAACUCUCCUCCUGCUCUUUCUACAAUUGAGAACUGCUGUGUCUGCGUGUCUCAUUACAUAAGUCAAGGAUAGGACUUGUGGAGAUCCCCCUGCCUCAGCCUCCUGAAUGCUGGGAUGUGCUUUUCUUUAUUCUCUCUCACUGGAGGGAUCAGGAGGUGAGGCACAGAUGGUAACAGUGCUGGCUAAAACACUGGCUCCAGUUGUUGGUGAGCUGCCUAGCACACACCAGGUCCUGAGUUCCGUCCCCAGCACGGGCAUGGUGCUGCAAGCCUAUAAUCCCAGAAGUUGGAGGCAGAAGGAUCAGAAAUUCAAGAUCCUGAUCAGCUACACAGUGACUCUGAGACCAGCCAGGAAUUUAAAAAAAAAAUAAAUAAAUAAAUAAACCAGCAACCUGCAGCUGCCACUUCCAAUCUAAAGAAAGGCCCUGAGUGCUCAGUGACUGGCGCUUGCUGGCCAUCCAAUGGAUGCCAGAAAGGUGCCAGAAAGCCCUGACACACCUGGAGGGCCAGUGAGCUCGUCCAGGUGUGCGGAAAUGCCAUUUUAAGACUUGCUGAUCAGGUACUCCGCUGUACAGGCUUCUGAGAGCAGAGUGCGAGCUGCGUCUUUUACUUUGUGGGAGAUGGCAUCUCUGUCAAAAGGAACAAACUCGGGGGCCCCAGUGCAGAUCUGCUCAACCGACUCUAUGGGAUUCACUUCGCCCCGCUUGGCUAUUCAGCAGCUCAAUUGGCAUUUCAUCCGCAUUGUGUCUGAGAAAGGGACGAGGUGCAAUUACGGAGGAGGGGGAGCGCUCCCCACUUGGCUUAAUUCAUCUUUCCUUGCAUCAGAAUGAGCACAGAUGUUCCACUGGAGGACAGGAGGGUGAUGAGCGCUUUCACACAGCACUUUGUUCCUUUAAAACUUUAUUUAAGAUGAAAAAGUGAUUUAAGUGAAAUUUACACACAGUGUUUUUCUCCCUUUGUUUGACUUGCUACGGGGCAUUCACUUUCAA